rnacentral:rRNA from 1 species
CAGAUCGCAUGAUCAGCUUUUAAAAGGCGGCGUAAGCUGUCGCUAUGGGGAUGGCCCCGCGGUGCAUUAGCUAGUUGGUAAGGGUAAAAGGGCUUACCAAGGCGAUGAUGCAUAGCCGAGUUGAGAGACUGAUCGGCCACAUUGGGACUGAGACACGGCCCAAACUCCUACGGGAGGCAGCAGUAGGGAAUCUUCCACAAUGGACGCAAGUCUGAUGGAGCAACGCCGCGUGAGUGAAGAAGGUUUUCGGAUCGUAAAGCUCUGUUGUUGGUGAAGAAGGAUAGAGGUAGUAACUGGCCUUUAUUUGACGGUAAUCAACCAGAAAAGUCACGGGCUAACUACGUGCCCAGUACGACGCGGGGUAAAU